rnacentral:miRNA from 1 species
CCACUGGGCUUCACCCGGACCUGGUGACUCUGAUCUCUACCUGGGCCUCACCCGGACCUGGUGACUGUGGUCCCCACCUGGGCCUCA